rnacentral:rRNA from 1 species
CAUAUCAAUAAGCGGAGGAAAAGAAACCAACAGGGAUUGCCCCAGUAACGGCGAGUGAAGCGGCAACAGCUCAAAUUUGAAAUCUGGCCCCAGGCCCGAGUUGUAAUUUGCAGAGGAUGCUUUUGGCGCGGUGCCUUCCGAGUUCCCUGGAACGGGACGCCAUAGAGGGUGAGAGCCCCGUACGGUUGGACACCAAGCCUCUGUAAAGCUCCUUCGACGAGUCGAGUAGUUUGGGAAUGCUGCUCAAAAUGGGAGGUAUAUUUCUUCUAAAGCUAAAUAUUGGCCAGAGACCGAUAGCGCACAAGUAGAGUGAUCGAAAGAUGAAAAGCACUUUGAAAAGAGGGUUAAACAGCACGUGAAAUUGUUAAAAGGGAAGCGCUUGUGACCAGACUUGCGCCCGGUGAAUCACCCAGCUCUCGCGGCUGGGGCACUUCGCCGGCACAGGCCAGCAUCAGCUCGCCGUCGGGGACAAAAGCUUGGGGAACGUAGCUCUCUUCGGGGAGUGUUAUAGCCCCUUGCAUAAUACCCUUCGGCGGGCUGAGGUACGCGUUCGCAAGGAUGCUGGCGUAAUGGUCAUCAGCGAC